GACGAACGCUGGCGGCGUGCCUAAUACAUGCAAGUAGAACGCUGAAGGAGGAGCUUGCUUCUCUGGAUGAGUUGCGAACGGGUGAGUAACGCGUAGGUAACCUGCCUGGUAGCGGGGGAUAACUAUUGGAAACGAUAGCUAAUACCGCAUAAUAGCAGUUGUUGCAUGAUAACUGUUUGAAAGGUGCAAUUGCACCACUACCAGAUGGACCUGCGUUGUAUUAGCUAGUUGGUGGGGUAACGGCUCACCAAGGCGACGAUACAUAGCCGACCUGAGAGGGUGAUCGGCCACACUGGGACUGGGACACGGCCCAGACUCCUACGGGAGGCAGCAGUAGGGAAUCUUCGGCAAUGGACGGAAGUCUGACCGAGCAACGCCGCGUGAGUGAAGAAGGGUUUCUGAUCGUAAAGCUCUGUUGUAAGAGAAGAACGAGUGUGAGAGUGGAAAGUUCACACUGUGACGGUAUCUUACCAGAAAGGGACGGCUAACUACGUG
rnacentral:rRNA from 1 species